AAAAAUUUGGCGGUAUUUUAGUCUAUUCAGAGGAACCUGUUCUGUAAUCGAUAAUCCACGAUGGACCUUACUUAAGUUUGUAAUCAGUUUAUAUACCGUCGUUAUUAGAAUAUUUUAUAAGAAUGUUAAUUUUCAAAAUUUUUAAAAAGAAAAUAUAUCAGAUCAAGGUGUAGCUAAUAUUUAAGUAGAAAUGGGUUACAAUAAAUUUAUUUAAACGGAUAUAAAUUUGAAAUAUUUAUUGAAGGUGGAUUUGAUAGUAAAAUUAUAAAGAUUAAUAAUUUGAUUUUAGCUCUAAAAUAUGCACACAUCGCCCGUCACUCUUACUACUAAGGUAAGAUAAGUCGUAACAUAGUAGAUGUACUGGAAAGUGUACCUAGAAUGCAAUUUAAAGCUUAUUUAGUAAAGUAUUUCAUUUACAUUGAAAAGAUUUUUGUGCAAAUCAAUAUAAAUUGAUUAGAUUUUAUUUAUUAAUUGUUUUUUUUUGAAUUAUAAAUUAUUAAAAAUAAUUAUAAAUUGAAUUGUUUUAGUAUUUAUGAAGAAAAAAUAAUAUUAAUUAUGGGCAAUAGUAUUGUGAAAGAAAAUUGAAUAAUUUGAAAAUUUUUAU
rnacentral:rRNA from 1 species